rnacentral:rRNA from 1 species
GACGAACUGUCCUAACGUUGUUCGGAAUCACUGGGCUUAAAGGGCGCGUAGGCGGUCGACCAAGUCAGGGGUGAAAUCCUGCAGCUUAACUGUAGAAGUGCCUUUGAUACUGGUCGUCUCGAGGGAGGUAGGGGUGUGCGGAACUUCCAGUGGAGCGGUGAAAUGCGUUGAUAUUGGAAGGAACGCCGGAGGCGAAAGCGGCGCACUGGACCUCUUCUGACGCUGAGGCGCGAAAGCUAGGGGAGCGAACGAG